rfam:Citrus clementina cultivar Clemenules unplaced genomic scaffold scaffold_9, whole genome shotgun sequence.
AUACCUUUCUCGGCCUUUUGGCUAAGAUCAAGUGUAGUAUCUGUUCUUAUCAGUUUAAUAUCUGAUAUGUGGAUCAUCGAUCCACACGAUAUUAAAUUAAUUUUUUGAGGGGAGAGUUCAAUACAGUAGCUUGCUACUGUGAACCCUAAGCGUCGCCCAUGCGUUGCACUACUGCGCGGGCCAGGCGCACCCCAC